GCAGCGUUCUUUGCUAGUCUAUCCACUUUCAAGUCAACAUCUUCUGAGUAAUCACCAUGAACCUCAGUCAACAAACUGUCAAGAAACUCUCAAUAAAUGAUGACAAAUUACUAUUGUAUGAAUAAAGUAGGAUAGUAACAAGAACAAGCUAAGGACAUAGUCCUUCCAUUAUAACAAUCGAAUACCUAUCAUAGGAUCUAAUUUUAUCCUAAUAGUCACCCAUUUUUAUAAAAUAGUAUUAGAUGGAGUGUGAGGAUAUAGAUGACCCACUGAGAUACUUCACCUUCUUUGUUCAUUGUCACUCUAAUUCUAUGAUGAUUUUUCCCCAAUUUAGCUUGUGACAGUACAAAAGCCCUGAUAAUUAACACAUAGGGCUAAAGAAAAACAGAAACCAAUAUAUUUUGAUAAAUAAGAAAUGAAUUAAUACUGAAAACUUCACUAAACUUUGGUAAUGUUUAUCUAUCUUUAGAAUUUGAACUACUAAUUUUUAAAGAUACAACUCAUCCAAAAUCAUAGUAUAAAGAUUAGCAUAAGAAAAUGCGCAUUUUUGCAUUAAUAUCUAACAAUAGAAGAUAUACUGCUUCAGAUGGAUGGAUCCACUAAUAUAAGAAAAAUGCAGGAAACAAUCUAUCUAGAUAGCUUCACGCAGACUCGGUUAAUAUUCAGUUGUAAUCAUCGUAAAUGAAGAGGAGAAAGAUUUAAGUUUGAUUACCCAAACAAAAAAAGAGAUCAGACAGAACAAAUGACAUGCAUGUACGAAAAUCCAGCAAGAAAUUAUUUCAAAAGAAUAAGAAAUGCUUACCUGUAAGUACUCAAGAGUGAGCAAACAAUGCAAGUUGGAGGUAGAAAGAAGUAACCUGGAAACAAAAGGAGCAGAAAGGAACAGUGGCUAUUUAGGAGAAGAAAUUUGGACUAAAAAGAUAAAUUAAAUUGAAUUGAUGAUUCUUCUCAAGUCUUAUUUAGAUGAAAAAACUCCCUGGCAACGUAAAUAUCGACAAAAAUCUAAGAAAGCUUCCCAAUUUUUUCUGAAGAUGCUGGUAUUAAGAGAAUAAAAUGCUAAAAUAGAAGAAAAAAUCACUAAAAUAUAAGAUGCAAACCUAAAACUGAAGAAUAAAACGCUAAUGAGAUGCACUUUUUCAUCAAAAUCUCCCACACAUGCAAAACUAACACAGAAAAUCUAUCAAGAGAAACCAACAAAGAAAUUUGAAGAACACAAUUCAAAUUAAGGAGAAAGAUGUAGGGAGCAAAAUUUGACAGAUGUAAAAGGGACUGACCAUGGUUUUUGAUGUCUUUCUGGCUGAGAAGUCCACCGCCGGGAAGGAGAAAGAAAUUGCAGAGGGAGACCUAUGUUUGCUGAUUCGACUUUUGAGUUUUACCGAGAAUAAGUACACGUGUUAAAUAGUCAGGCCCACAAAAGGCAAUGAAAUCAAUAGCCAAGAAGUACAAACACAUUUACAGUACAACAUAAGUAACUCUUUGUACACUUCCUUAAAGCUGUGUUGGUACCCCCUUGUUCUCUUAUAUAUAGUAGUACUAGAAAACCAUUCAGUCACAAGUCUACCCAUAUCAAAUUCAUCAAAAUUCGACGUCAAAUGACCCUCCAAAUCCUGAAAAAUCAAUUCUCCAAUUUUCU
rnacentral:lncRNA from 1 species